UCACAGGAAUCUCUACCGCUUAUAUAAAAAAUAGGAUCAUGUUCCGUCGUCAAUCGUUCGUCGCCUUCGUCGUGGCUCCUUCCCAUGAGCGGACGCAUAUAUGGGCCAAGCGCAACAUGGACGCGCUGGACGUUUGCUGCUACUUCAUAUCUCACGGUUUGUUCCUCUUCUUCUCUCUCCAAGCGAACAGAGCUUGUCCCGAACAGAAUUCACAAAUAGGGUUGAUCUCCCAUGGCGCCGCCUCCCUCCUCCGGUAUGAGGAACGAAACCCCCGGCUGAAUCCCCACCCCCGAAUUCCGGCCCUGCCGUUCGUCACGGCCUGCUACAUGUAGACCUCCCACGGCCCCAACAUCGAUGCCUCUGGACAUGGCUGCUCGUCGGAGCCGUUUCGCCGUCAACGCAGAGCCGAGCUACUGACCCCAAUUCAACCCGGACCAGCCUCAUGGUCAUCUCCAGUUCGUCAAUUUCCCUCACAUCAAUGAAAAGUUUUAAGAUUUGGGCUCGCUUGUUAUCGCCCCUGAUGGAAGGAAUGGAUGUGAUGGGCAUUGGGCAAUGCCAAGACAGGGAAGAACCUUGCGUUCCUUACACCAGUGAUUGAGCUGCUCUAUCAGCUCCAUUUGUUACCGCAUAACAAGUCUGGGGCUGUGGUGGUUUGCCCCACAAGGGACGUCGCUUUCAGGUAUGAUAAUGAUUACCUGGAUAAAUCAUGCUGCAUGAUCUUGCUGGAUGAUGACCGCUGACUUAUUUCUGUAAAUUCGGGAGCAAUUCAUCAUACUACAUUAGUAAAAACUAUGCAUGAUUUCAUUACUACUAUUUCCUACUAGCCCAGUCCAAAAUAUAAGGCCUUUUAGAAAGUUAAAGUAGCUUUCUAAAAGGCUUGUAUUUUGAAAUGUAGGUAAUAUUUGUGUACUGUACAACUGGUGUGCCUCUGGUUGAUGACUGUUGUCUAUGUAAAUUUCUUCUUAUAUACUUAUAAUGUGAAACUGUUUCAUUAGAUUCAUUUUUGCAGUAAAUUGAAAUAAUGUACUUCUAUUUUUAUUUCCAAAGAUUAUAGAGACAACAUUAGCAUAUGUGUAACUUCAGAAUAUUUAAGGGAAAUAUAAAAGGAGCAUCUCUAUCGCUUAAUAUCAUGUUUCUAUUACUUGGAUCCAGCAGAUAGUGACAAACAUGUGUUGUGGAGUCUGCAAACUUUCUAUGAUCGGACCAUUUGAUAGACUCAAGAUUGAGGGUGUAUGAAAAAAGAAAUUAGUUACAACAUUGUGCCAUUUCUUUUAUUUUCUGCUUUUGUCACUUUCGAUCCUCUUUCGAUUUUUCUUUGUCUUUUUUGUAUUUCCUUCUAUACAUAGAGCAUUUUGUAUUUGAAGAAACACGUGCGACUAAUAUAAGGAAGGUCUGAUAACAA